UACAGAGGGGGCAAGCGUUGUUCGGAAUUACUGGGCGUAAAGGGCGCGUAGGCGGCCUUCUAAGUCAGACGUGAAAUCCCCGGGCUCAACCCGGGAACUGCGUCUGAUACUGGAGGGCUUGAAUCCGGGAGAGGGAUGUGGAAUUCCAGGUGUAGCGGUGAAAUGCGCAGAUAUCAGGAGGAACACCGGUGGCGAAGGCGGGUCUCUGGGCCGAUACUGACGCUGAGGAGCGAAAGCGUGGGGAGCGAACAGG
rnacentral:rRNA from 1 species